UACGUAGGGUGCAAGCGUUGUCCGGAAUUAUUGGGCGUAAAGAGCUCGUAGGCGGUUUGUCGCGUCGAAUGUGAAAUCCCGGGGCUCAACUCCGGGUCUGCAUUCGAUACGGGCAGACUAGAGUUCGGUAGGGGAGUCUGGAAUUCCUGGUGUAGCGGUGAAAUGCGCAGAUAUCAGGAGGAACACCGGUGGCGAAGGCGGGACUCUGGGCCGAUACUGACGCUGAGGAGCGAAAGCGUGGGGAGCGAACAGG
rnacentral:rRNA from 1 species